UACCAGAUGGAGCCGACCAGCGGUCU
rnacentral:piRNA from 1 species